AUGAUUGACGCAAACCUGAAAAUCAUGUCAUGGAACGUUCGAGGGCUCAACUCGCCGGCCCGGUGAGCCGUAGUUUGCGAAGCUGCGGAAACACACAAGCUAGCUAUCCUCUGUCUACAAGAAACAAAGAUCGACGAGUGGAGUAGAUCACUAGUUAGAGAGGUUGGCGGCUGCAGGCUGGAUGAUUGCAUCGUGCUCCCGGCAGAUGGUACCCGUGGCGGUGCGGCCAUCUUCUGGGACAAAAACAGAGUAGACGUGCAAUCCCAUGCCAUCGGCCUUUUCUCCAUCACGGCCAAGAUCACCAUGAGGGCAUCGGCCGGUUCCUUCUGGCUGACGACGGUGUACGGACACGUCGAUGAUGGGAGGAAGGACGAGUUCCUGGCUGAACUUUCGCGAGCUGCACCUCCAACAGACGCCCCUUGGCUCAUCAAUGGUGAUUUCAACCUCAUCUACGAGGCACAAGACAAGAACAACAACAACAUCAACCGUAGAAUCAUGGGCAAAUUUAGGGCUGCCAUCGACGCCGCAGGCCUCAAGGAGAUCAAAUGCAAAAACCGCAGAUUCACUUGGAGUAACAAGAGGAUGACGCCAACCCUAGUUAGCAUAGACAAGUUUUUCUACAACAUGGCUUGGUGCUCCAUCUUCCCUUCGUAUCUACUGCAUGCUGCUUCAACAUCAUGCUCCGACCACUGUCCAUUGCUGCUAUCCGAAGCCUCUGUGCCUCGCCGUGCGGCUCGCUUUCGCUUCGAAUCCUUCUGGCCUCGCUUCCCCCGCUUCCACACGACAGUCUAG
rnacentral:rRNA from 1 species